AGCAGCCGCGGUAAUUCCAGCUCCAAUAGCGUAUAUUAAAGUUGUUGCAGUUAAAAAGCUCGUAGUUGAAUUUCGGGGUCUGUCCGUCGGUCGGGCUUCACGGUCCGUACUGGUGUGAUGGGUUCCUACCUUCUGAAUAACCGGCAUGCCAUUCAGUUGGUGCGCCGGGGAAGCAGAGCUAUUACCUUGAAAAAAUUAGAGUGCUUAAAGCAGGCUAGUGCUUGAAUAGAUUAGCAUGGAAUAAUAAAAUAGGACGGCAUGGUUCUAUUCUGUUGGUUUCUAGGAUCACCGUAAUGAUUAAUAGGGAUAGUUGGGGGCAUUAGUAUUCAAUUGUCAGAGGUGAAAUUCUUGGAUUUAUUGAAGACUAACUUCUGCGAAAGCAUUUGCCAAGGAUGUUUUCAUUAAUCAAGAACGAAAGUUAGGGGAUCGAAGACGAUCAGAUACCGUCGUAGUCUUAACCAUAAACUAUGCCGACUAGGGAUCGGACGAUGUUAAUUUUUUAAUGACUCGUUCGGCGCCUUACGGGAAAAAGCCGA
rnacentral:rRNA from 1 species